ACAAUGAAGAGUUUGAUCCUGGCUCAGGAUGAACGCUAGCUACAGGCUUAACACAUGCAAGUCGAGGGGCAUCAGGAAGAAAGCUUGCUUUCUUUGCUGGCGACCGGCGCACGGGUGAGUAACACGUAUCCAACCUGCCCUUUACUCGGGGAUAGCCUUUCGAAAGAAAGAUUAAUACCCGAUGGGAUAAUCAUUCCGCAUGGUUUGAUUAUUAAAGGAUUCCGGUAAAGGAUGGGGAUGCGUUCCAUUAGGUUGUUGGUGAGGUAACGGCCCACCAAGCCUUCGAUGGAUAGGGGUUCUGAGAGGAAGGUCCCCCACAUUGGAACUGAGACACGGUCCAAACUCCUACGGGAGGCAGCAGUGAGGAAUAUUGGUCAAUGGGCGCGAGCCUGAACCAGCCAAGUAGCGUGAAGGAUGACUGCCCUAUGGGUUGUAAACUUCUUUUAUAUUAGAAUAAAGUGCAGUAUGUAUACUGUUUUGUAUGUAUAAUAUGAAUAAGGAUCGGCUAACUCCGUGCCAGCAGCCGCGGUAAUACGGAGGAUCCGAGCGUUAUCCGGAUUUAUUGGGUUUAAAGGGAGCGUAGGUGGACUGGUAAGUCAGUUGUGAAAGUUUGCGGCUCAACCGUAAAAUUGCAGUUGAUACUGUCAGUCUUGAGUACAGUAGAGGUGGGCGGAAUUCGUGGUGUAGCGGUGAAAUGCUUAGAUAUCACGAAGAACUCCGAUUGCGAAGGCAGCUCACUGGACUGCAACUGACACUGAUGCUCGAAAGUGUGGGUAUCAAACAGGAUUAGAUACCCUGGUAGUCCACACAGUAAACGAUGAAUACUCGCUGUUUGCGAUAUACAGUAAGCGGCCAAGCGAAAGCAUUAAGUAUUCCACCUGGGGAGUACGCCGGCAACGGUGAAACUCAAAGGAAUUGACGGGGGCCCGCACAAGCGGAGGAACAUGUGGUUUAAUUCGAUGAUACGCGAGGAACCUUACCCGGGCUUAAAUUGCAGUGGAAUGAUGUGGAAACAUGUCAGUGAGCAAUCACCGCUGUGAAGGUGCUGCAUGGUUGUCGUCAGCUCGUGCCGUGAGGUGUCGGCUUAAGUGCCAUAACGAGCGCAACCCUUAUCUUUAGUUACUAACAGGUCAUGCUGAGGACUCUGGAGAGACUGCCGUCGUAAGAUGUGAGGAAGGUGGGGAUGACGUCAAAUCAGCACGGCCCUUACGUCCGGGGCUACACACGUGUUACAAUGGGGGGUACAGAAGGCAGCUACCUGGUGACAGGAUGCUAAUCCCAAAAGCCUCUCUCAGUUCGGAUCGAAGUCUGCAACCCGACUUCGUGAAGCUGGAUUCGCUAGUAAUCGCGCAUCAGCCACGGCGCGGUGAAUACGUUCCCGGGCCUUGUACACACCGCCCGUCAAGCCAUGGGAGCCGGGGGUACCUGAAGUACGUAACCGCAAGGAGCGUCCUAGGGUAAAACUGGUGACUGGGGCUAAGUCGUAACAAGGUAGCCGUACCGGAAGGUGCGGCUGGAACACCUCCUUU
rnacentral:rRNA from 1 species